UCAAACGUUUUUGAAUCGCCCCAAUACUAGAUAUCAUCAGAUAAAAUUUUAGUUUCCAAACUAAUCGUGAGACGCCAAGAGAAAAUGAAGAUUCUUAGAAAAUGGUCGAAGAGUUCAUUCAAAAAUUGCGCCACAACUCCGUUGGGUACUUGGUUGGAAAAAUUUAAAAUGUUAUAGUUCAUAUUCUGUGAAGGCACGGUAAAUGGCAGGGCAUAGCGUAUCAUUGGUACCUCGCGUACCUGCAGGAAUAAAAUAUACCCAUGCCUCUUACCCAGCAACUCCUAUCCCUACACUCAAAUGAAUCAAACAGGCUAAUUUAUAAGAAAUUUCAUAUCAGUUCUACUGUAUCCUUGUUGUAUAACAUUGAUAUGGAUUAAUAUGCGUAUCAUCUGCAAAGCACUUCUAAUUCAACAGCAUCUUAAUAAACACAACAGUCAUUGGCUUACAUUGAAGCUAUACGCAAAAGACAUAUAACCAGUACAUGCCUCGUAUAUAGUUUCGGCGGGUUAAACGGCAACGCAUUUGUUAUAUGCGUAUUCUGCAUAUCAUCAGUAUUAUUUUAUCCAGUGAUCGCAACCAUUGCAACAGAUGGAGAGUUUGUCUAGCAAAAAUACUGAAGGAGUAGCAAUUCUUUCUUUGCUCUUUUGUAAAUUUUGAAUGUUUGCAAAAUGUUUCAGCCGAGGUUUCACCAAUGGUCUCGUUUCAAGAGAAUUGAAGUGGCAUCUUACAUAUGGUUGGGAUCAAAGCUUAGAGAUAAAGAUAUUAUUGACAAUGGAAAGAAAACGAUGAACUUUCAAGGACACCAACCAAAAAACUCCGUGAACGCCUAUGUACUGGGAAGGCUCUCUCAUUGGUGAACAAAAAAAUAGCCUCGAAGUUAUUACAUGUUACUAAUGAAU